rnacentral:rRNA from 1 species
GGAAUUUUGGACAAUGGGCGCAAGCCUGAUCCAGCAAUGCCGCGUGAGUGAAGAAGGCCUUCGGGUUGUAAAGCUCUUUUGUCAGGGAAGAAACGGUAGGGGCUAAUAUCCUUUGCUAAUGACGGUACCUGAAGAAUAAGCACCGGCUAACUACGUGCCAGCAGCCGCGGUAAUACGUAGGGUGCAAGCGUUAAUCGGAAUUACUGGGCGUAAAGCGUGCGCAGGCGGUUUUGUAAGUCUGUCGUGAAAGCCCCGGGCUCAACCUGGGAAUUGCGAUGGAGACUGCAAGGCUUGAAUCUGGCAGAGGGGGGUAGAAUUCCACGUGUAACAGUGAAAUGCGUAGAGAUGUGGAGGAACACCGAUGGCGAAGGCAGCCCCCUGGGUCAAGAUUGACGCUCAUGCACGAAAGCGUGGGGAGCAAACAGGAUUAGAUACCCUUG